UACGUAGGGGGCAAGCGUUGUCCGGAUUUAUUGGGCGUAAAGAGCGUGUAGGCGGUUUGGUAGGUCCGCUGUGAAAACUCGAGGCUCAACCUCGAGACGCCGGUGGAAACCAUCAGGCUAGAGUCCGGAAGAGGAGAGUGGAAUUCCUGGUGUAGCGGUGAAAUGCGCAGAUAUCAAGUGGAACACCGGUGGCGAAGGCGAGUCCCUGGACAACACCUGACACUGAGGCACGAAAGCUAGGGGAGCAAACAGG
rnacentral:rRNA from 1 species